rnacentral:rRNA from 1 species
GAGAAGACGUAGCAAUACGUUUGUAUAGCGGCGAACGGGUGAGGAAUACAUGGGUAACCUACCCUUGAGUGGGGAAUAACUAGCCGAAAGGUUAGCUAAUACCGCGUACGCUCCUUGGACUUCGGUUCAGGGAGGAAAGCGAUACCGAGGGUAUCGCGCUCUAGGAUGGGCUCAUGUCCUAUCAGCUUGUUGGUGAGGUAACGGCUCACCAAGGCUUCGACGGGUAGCUGGUCUGAGAGGACGAUCAGCCACACUGGCACUGCGACACGGGCCAGACUCCUACGGGAGGCAGCAGUAAGGAAUAUUGCGCAAUGGGCGAAAGCCUGACGCAGCGACGCCGCGUGGGGGAUGAAGGUCUUCGGAUUGUAAACCCCUUUCGGGAGGGAAGAUGGAAUGGGGUAACCCAUUCGGACGGUACCUCCAGAAGCAGCCACGGCUAACUUCGUGCCAGCAGCCGCGGUAAUACGAAGGUGGCAAGCGUUAUUCGGAUUUACUGGGCGUACAGGGAGCGUAGGCGGUUCGGUAAGCCCUUUGUGAAAUCUCCAGGCUUAACCUGGAACAGUCGGAGGGGACUGCCGGGCUAGAGGACGGGAGAGGAGCGCGGAAUUCCCGGUGUAGCGGUGAAAUGCGUAGAGAUCGGGAGGAAGGCCGGUGGCGAAGGCGGCGCUCUGGAACGUUUCUGACGCUGAGGCUCGAAAGCGUGGGGAGCAAACAGGAUUAGAUACCCUGGUAGU